rnacentral:rRNA from 1 species
AAGACUUUAAUUGAAGUGCUAAAAGAAUGGAGUUUCAAAAAAAGUCUAUCUUGAAUUCAAAAAUUGAAUUUAUUUUUAUUUGUGAAGAAACAAUAAUUAAAAUUAAGGACAAGAAGACCCUAAGAAUUUUUAAUUUUGUAUAUAUAAAUAUAUAUAUAUACAAAAUUUUAAUUGGGGCGAUUAAAAAAUAUAGUUAACUUUUAAUUUUAAAAAAUGAUCCAUUAUUAGUGAUUUAAUGUAAAAAAUACUCUAGGGAUAACAGCGUAAUAAUUUUAGAUAGAUCUUAUAGAAAAAAUAGUUUGCGACCUCGAUGUUGGAUUAUGAUUCUUUUUUAAUGAAGAAGUUAAAAUAAGAAGUUUGUUCAACUUUUAAAAUCCUA